AAAAAAAUCUUUUUAAUAUUCAAUGACACCAUUUCUUUAACUUCCAAAAUCAUUAAGCAUUCAUCGAUCUCAGAAAUAAUCUAGACAAACCCCAAAUCGUCUCUUCGUCUCCCUCAAUCCCACCCUCUUUUUGAAAUCCCUCAAUCUAAGCCUCAUUUUCAAUUGAAAUCCCCUAAAUCUCUUCGUCUCCCCUCAAUCUAAGGCUCAUUUUCGAUUAGGUCUCAACAGAGCCAGAAGCUCCUGCUACGCCGCCAUUGACGGCAACCGAGGCCCCGAAAGAUGUGGCGGAUGAGAAGGAAGUGAUCCCAUCUCCGGCGACACCAUCGCCUCCGGCCAAAGAGAAGGCUGAUGACUCCAAAGCACUUGUUGUUGUUGAGACAAUAACAGUCGUUAAUCCAACCGAUUUGGUGAAAGUACGACUUCAAGCUGAAGGCAAGCUUCUAGCGGGUGUACCAAGACGUUAUUCAGGAGCUCUGAAUGCUUACUCUACUAUAGUCAAACAGACCAUAUUGAAAAUUCCCGGCUUCUCUGACAAUGUCUUUACCCAUCUUUUAUCUGGUCUUGGGGAUGGCUUCUUUACAGUCUGUAUUGGUUCCCUUGUUGAUGUGGUGACGAAGACCGAGGGCCAAAAAGAGGCUUAGAUUGAGGGAUUUCUCACACCGUUCUGUUCUCCCUCUUUGAAAAUUUUUUCUGCUCUCAUUAUUAUUCUUGAGAAUCCUAAUUUGGUGCAGGAUGAGGCGAUAGAGCUCUUGAAGGAUUUUGAGAGAGCAUUACAAG